CCUGUUUGUCAUCUAAUUCCUAGAAGACCUUGCUCAUGUUUGGGCCUGUGUGUGUGGAUAUUUUUAACCACGUGGAAGCAUCAUUCCCUGAAGAAGUUCAGCCAGAUGUUGGACAUACAGAUGUGAGAGUCAAUGCCCAGUCAAAAGAAAAACUGAAGAUCCACAGCAGCAUCUUCCCCAACACAGCCAGGAAAACACUUCAAAUGUCCUUCUAUGGCUUUGUGUCUGUUUGUGUGUGCAUUUUAACAAUGAAGAUACCCCAAUGACGGAAAAGAUGACACUGAAAAUUAUUGAAUAUGAGGAGAUCUGAACAAGAAUAAUUCAUGGAGGAUUGCUAGAGUCAUCGUGUGUGGAUAAACAGAAUGAGUACUGCAUAUACACAAAAAUGCUGUAUUUCUUCAGUAAACAACUUGCAUACCUGCAGCAGUGCUGAAUGAGAAAUAACAGCUAAGUGUUUUUUCUUUUCCUGCCUUUAUAGUUACAGUAUUCCCUACAGAUUUCCCAUCCAGAUGCUCUUCUGUCUACAAUCUGACUGUGUGCAAAAUCCAAGAUGAUAUGCUGCGAUAAUUUUUAGUGUUAACAUGGAGGAUCUAUAGGCCUGGAUAUAUAUAUAUAUAUAUAUAUAUAUAUAUAUAUAUAUAUAUAUAUGUAUGAUAUAUAUAUGUAUGUCAAAUGCAUGGUGUCCAUUUACAUUCUCAUUGAUCUUGAACUAUUUCUUAAGCUCUGUGUCUUAUAUUU
rnacentral:lncRNA from 10 species